CGCCAGAGCUCCUUUAGAACACGCUUCAGGACUGUCUUCUCACAUACAGUGGCAAAGAGUGUGAGGCUGCAGACCCAAGUAACAGGUUUCCAGGUCCUGACCCUUACCACUUUUUCCUUGGUGCAAUAAGCCGGGAACUCCUUUGAUAAGAUGUCUGCAUACUGUAUCAGCACUUUCCCGAUGGUCUGAGAAAAGAGGAGCAAAGGAGGGGUGCGAGAACUCUUAGCUCUCCCCAUAGGGGUCUAGCCUGAAGUAACACCUCUCAUCCCAGGACAACAACAAAAGGGAAAUAAAGGGCUCCACGCAGGAAUUCCAGGGACACAUCCUCAUUUUCAUCCAACCAUUGUAGGACAAACUGUUCAAACCACC